CCUACGGGAGGCAGCAGUAGGGAAUAUUGCUCAAUGGGGGAAACCCUGAAGCAGCAACGCCGCGUGGAGGAUGAAGGUUUUCGGAUUGUAAACUCCUUUUGUUAGAGAAGAUAAUGACGGUAUCUAACGAAUAAGCACCGGCUAACUCCGUGCCAGCAGCCGCGGUAAUACGGAGGGUGCAAGCGUUACUCGGAAUCACUGGGAGGAAAGAGCGCGUAGGCGGGAGAGCAAGUCAGAUGUGAAAUCCUAUGGCUUAACCAUAGAACUGCAUUUGAAACUGUUAUUCUAGAGUAUGGGAGAGGUAGGUGGAAUUCUUGGUGUAGGGGUAAAAUCCGUAGAGAUCAAGAGGAAUACUCAUUGCGAAGGCGACCUGCUAGAACAUAACUGACGCUGAUGCGCGAAAGCGUGGGGAGCAAACAGGAUUAGAUACCCUUGUAGUC
rnacentral:rRNA from 1 species